rnacentral:misc_RNA from 1 species
GAGAUAAAAUUAGGUUGGUCAUCACAGGGAAAAUAUAAGAAGGGAGAGGAAAAUGUUUCCCUGUCUUUCAUAGACGAAAAGGAAACUUUUCUCCUGAAGGAAGUUUUCCUUCCUCACAUUAAUUUUUUUAAUAUGCUUUCUUUUGCUAAAGAAUGAAAACCAAUCAUUGGGUAUUUCCUUCGGCCCACAACUAGUUGCAAUUUCUCGCCUACCACCACAGAAAUGAGCCCUCUACCUGUCUCGACAUUGUCUCCUUGAUAUAUCUCCUCUGUACAUCUGCAACUCCUAAGCAAAGAAAGUGAGAUUGGUCAUAAAGAAUUCACCCCUCAUUUGAGCCGAGGGCAGGGGGUGAAUUGUUGACAAAAAGGAAAGGCUGUUUCAUUAAUUUUCUUUUUCUAAUUAACUGAAAAUUGUCAUUUUAAGAACCAACUCCAAUCCAUUUUAGAACUUUUGAAAUGGCCCUUUAGCUGUGAUAUAAAACUAAACUCAAUUUCUACACUGUCAAUGCAGAACAAAAUGCUAUUGACCAGUCAUUCCCAAGGAUUAUGUAUGAGUGGCAUGGUAAGUAAGUUAUGCUUUAGUUUGAAAAGGAAUAUACAAGGAAAGCAGUGGCGAUUCAUAGAUAUAGUAUUGAUUAUCAUUACAAAAGUUCAAACUCUUUCAAAUAUUGAUCAACCCUUCAAUUUGAUAUAUGUGAAUCUAAUGACAGAGGCUCUCCGAACUUUUCCUUUCAUUUCAGUAAGCGGUUGGGAGUGAUGGUGCCUUAUAACCUCGGAACUGGGCGAGGAACGUCCCAGUCAGUCACAAUGUGAUUGCGGGUAAUCUCCCUGAGUGAGCGGCAGCCACUCAAUGCCAUUGUUAGCUCAAACUCAUCACGAAGCAUCUGAAGUACUUUCCUAAUUCCAGCUUCUCCUUCAGCAGCCAAUGAGAACACCACAGGCCUUCCAAUAAAUAUUCCAGAUGCUCCUAGUGCCAAUGCCUUGAAAACAUCUGUGCCACGGCGAACUCCACCAUCAAGGAAAACAGGAACACGGCCUUGUGCAGCUUUGACGACCUGUGAGAUGCAUCAAUAAAAUCAUUAAAUCCGAUUAUUACAACUUAAAAAUGUGAAAAAUUGCAGUUUCACUAGAAGCAAAGAUAAAGGGGUACUCAGCAAAAAGAAUUGCUUGAAUCUCACAGUAUGUUAAUAAGUGGUAACAAAGAGAAAGGAAAUCAUGAGAGGUGAGCAAGGCACUGAUAUCCCUGUUUUGAAGGUCAACCAGCGGACAACACCCCAAUCCCAUUGCCUCCAAAGAAGGAAAAAAAGAGUAGGAGUAGCUCAUGUCAACACAGAAAUAAUCAUUAAAGGAAAGUGGUUAUUUCAAUAUGGUUUUGAAAAAUUAAAAAGGCUUAGCAUACCAUUAAUACACAUGAAGGAGAAAAGGUAAGAAACGAAUAAUUAUUUCAUGAGAAAAAAAAAAGGUUGUAAAGAUGAAAAUCUUUAAAAUUUGUGAAUGUACUUAAACUUGUUAAAAAUGCACUUGGAAUACAUUAACUUUACAAUCGCCAGCACUUGUACCUCUUCCAAUGCCAUAAUAGUUGCAGGAACAUAAUCAAGCUGGCGAGCUCCAUGAUUGGAUACAAUGAUUCCUGCAGCUCCAUUCUGUAUGGCUAGCCUUGCUGCAUUGAGAGCAAAAAAAAAGGAAAAAACAGAGGGUGCAUCAGAAGAAUUUUAUGAGGGCCACAAACAGAAUCAGAUGGGAAGAAAACUCUGUUGCUCAUUUUUUUUAGUUGUUUUUUCCCUGUCAUCCAGUGAGUAGGGGACAAGUAGUUUAUUUAGAAUUCUUACCAUCCUCUGCAGUCAGUACACCCUUCACCAGGAUGGGCAGUGACGUGAUUGUCUGAAGCCACUUCACAUCCUGUCCAAUGGCCGAGAGAAGUUUACCGAAAGACCAUGUCUAUGUCACAGUUCAGGCAUUGUAAAAAUCAAUCAAGUUAUCUUACCUUCCAGCUAAGUGUCCUGUCAAUUUGGCCAGCAACAUAUGAAGCAAGUCCAGAGUCAUCGG